CGUGGCCAAGGAGAUGGCAUUCCUCCUCAAACCGCCACCAACAUCAUGUUGGGGCUGAUGAUGCCUACAGUGAC
rnacentral:ncRNA from 1 species